rnacentral:rRNA from 1 species
UAAGCCGUUGAAGGUGUCCUGUGAGGGGUGCUGGAGGUAUCAGAAGUGCGAAUGCUGACAUAAGUAACGAUAAAGCGGGUGAAAAGCCCGCUCGCCGGAAGACCAAGGGUUCCUGUCCAACGUUAAUCGGGGCAGGGUGAGUCGACCCCUAAGGCGAGGCCGAAAGGCGUAGUCGAUGGGAAACGGGUUAAUAUUCCCGUACUUGGUGUUACUGCGAAGGGGGGACGGAGAAGGCUAUGUUGGCCGGGCGACGGUUGUCCCGGUUUAAGCGUGUAGGUGUGUGUUCCAGGUAAAUCCGGUUCACUUUAACACUGAGGCGUGAUGACGAGGCACCACGGUGCUGAAGCAACAAAUGCCCUGCUUCCAGGAAAAGCCUCUAAGCAUCAGGUAACAUCAAAUCGUACCCCAAACCGACACAGGUGGUCAGGUAGAGAAUACCAAGGCGCUUGAGAGAACUCGGGUGAAGGAACUAGGCAAAAUGGUGCCGUAACUUCGGGAGAAGGCACGCUGACACGUAGGUGAAGUGAUUUACUCAUGGAGCUGAAGUCAGUCGAAGAUACCAGCUGGCUGCAACUGUUUAUUAAAAACACAGCACUGUGCAAACACGAAAGUGGACGUAUACGGUGUGACGCCUGCCCGGUGCCGGAAGGUUAAUUGAUGGGGUCAGCGCAAGCGAAGCUCCUGAUCGAAGCCCCGGUAAACGGCGGCCGUAACUAUAACGGUCCUAAGGUAGCGAAAUUCCUUGUCGGGUAAGUUCCGACCUGCACGAAUGGCGUAAUGAUGGCCAGGCUGUCUCCACCCGAGACUCAGUGAAAUUGAACUCGCUGUGAAGAUGCAGUGUACCCGCGGCAAGACGGAAAGACCCCGUGAACCUUUACUAUAGCUUGACACUGAACAUUGAGCCUUGAUGUGUAGGAUAGGUGGGAGGCUUUGAAGCGUGGACGCCAGUCUGCGUGGAGCCGACCUUGAAAUACCACCCUUUAAUGUUUGAUGUUCUAACGUGGACCCGUAAUCCGGGUUGCGGACAGUGUCUGGUGGGUAGUUUGACUGGGGCGGUCUCCUCCUAAAGAGUAACGGAGGAGCACGAAGGUUGGCUAAUCCUGGUCGGACAUCAGGAGGUUAGUGCAAUGGCAUAAGCCAGCUUGACUGCGAGCGUGACGGCGCGAGCAGGUGCGAAAGCAGGUCAUAGUGAUCCGGUGGUUCUGAAUGGAAGGGCCAUCGCUCAACGGAUAAAAGGUACUCCGGGGAUAACAGGCUGAUACCGCCCAAGAGUUCAUAUCGACGGCGGUGUUUGGCACCUCGAUGUCGGCUCAUCACAUCCUGGGGCUGAAGUAGGUCCCAAGGGUAUGGCUGUUCGCCAUUUAAAGUGGUACGCGAGCUGGGUUUAGAACGUCGUGAGACAGUUCGGUCCCUAUCUGCCGUGGGCGCUGGAAGACUGAGGGGGGCUGCUCCUAGUACGAGAGGACCGGAGUGGACGCAUCACUGGUGUUCGGGUUGUCAUGCCAAUGGCACUGCCCGGUAGCUAAAUGCGGAAAAGAUAAGUGCUGAAAGCAUCUAAGCACGAAACUUGCCCCGAGAUGAGUCUUCCCUGAGACCUUGAGUCUCCUG